UUGUAAAUUUGGGUUGCUGGGCUGACAGGCCAAGCCGGGCAGUUCCUACUUUAGAAGGUAAAGAUCCCAUCCUUGACGGGCCUUACUGGAAAAGAGAAAACCCAAUCGAGAAAUGCUACCAAGCUGCAAAGAAACGCGGGUACCAGUAUUUCGCCAUACAGCACGGUGGAUGGUGUGCCUCUUCCAGUGACGCUGGGCAGACAUAUAAGAAAUAUGGGGCUUCUAUCAGAUGUCAGUCAGAUGGAGAAGGUGGACCAUGGGCUAAUCAAGUUUACAAGAUAUCGGACGAUAAGCAAGGUUCAUAAACCAACAGGAACCAUACCUUAUAAUACCCAUAUCGGUAAACGGCCAAUUUACAUACCGACAAUCGAGAACGUUGAGGACUACGAUUUUUGAAUACAAUUCAUGGGAGGUGAAAUUAAUGUUAACUGGUGAAGAAUAUAUACCAUGUGUUGGUGCUAAAUACUUGCAUUACUAAAAUGUGUAUUUCUUGAUGAUAUAUCUGAUGACGUCUCUUUAAAGUGCUUGAUGUUCUUAUGAAAUAUCGCAAUUUGGAAACUUGUCAAUACCACUUUUAUCCCUUAUGCAUAAUUGUUUGUAAAAGAAACUCGAAGAAAGAAAACUUUCAGGUAUUGAAAUAGGAAUGCCAAAAUCACAAUGUUACUAAAGCACUAUUAAUACAAAUGAAACUGUUAUCGUUGGAAAUCAAAUGUAGUCAAAAUAAGGUCAAAGUAACGUUGUUGAUGGAACAUACUGCCUUCUCCAAGGAACAUCUGAUAUUGAUGUUUAGAAGUCAUUUUUUUCUGCUUAAUUAAGUAACGAUUACCCUCUAUUUCACUUUUGUUGUUUUUUAUGCUUAUAGUGUCAAUUCAAAUUACUUGGACUCUCUGGGUAAAAAGCGGGAAUAAAUGGGUUAUAAAAUGAA